AGAAUAUGUGGUUCCACAUAGUCUUCCUCUUCACAAAGCAGACACUUACCAGUAUGGAGAAGAAAUAGUAUACGAAUGUGAAGAAGGUUUUAGGACUAAAGGAUCUGCAUCUAUAAAGUGUUUAGGAGGAAAAUGGUCUCAUCCACCAGAAUGCAUAAAAACAGAUUGUUUUGGCCUACCUAACUUUGGUAUCGCCAUACCCAUAGGCCCGAAGAAGGACUCAUAUAGGUCAGAAGAAAAAGUGACUUAUACGUGUCCAAAUAAUUACCAAUUGUAUGGACCUAAUUUUAUACAGUGUAUUAAAAGCCAAUGGAUAGGAAAGCCAAUAUGCAAAGAAAUUUCCUGUGAGAAUCCACCCAAAGUGGAAAAUGCUAUUAUACUAAAUGAGAAGCCUAGGUAUCUAAUUGGUCAGACUGCACGUUAUGAAUGCAUCAAACCUUUUGAACUGUUUGGGGAAGUAGAAGUGAAAUGUUUCAACGGGUACUGGUCACAACCACCUCAGUGUGCAGGUAAAGUAUCUUAUUUCCCCUCGGGUUUUAGAGAAUAUAUUAGGGACUAAAUAUGUCAAUAUAAAUAAAUAUAGUGACAUAGUUCUUAUGGAA